UAUAUAUAUAUAUAUAUAUAUAUUAUAUAAACAAAAUGUACACAGCCAUGUAUCACCAUCACUGCUGGUGAUCCGAUGUAUAAAUCUGUUGUAGAGUUGUCACUGGUUCAGACGUACUUAUAUAUUCACAUAUAUAUAUUUAUAUAUAUAGAUAUAUCGAUUUAAACAUGCUUAGAAUUUUCCCAAACUUUACAUGGUGAAGGUGAAUGUUCAAAAUGAUGCAAAACGUGGUUUCUAACUCCAUUUAGUUAAAAUAUGUCAACGAAAGACUUGACUUAUAUUCAAACAAAUUCUUGUCGGAAUAUAACAUGCAUUUGGAAGGAGAAAAUUAGUAUAACAUGUAUAACUGAAGUGCUUAAACUGAUGAUAGGAUACUAAGUUUUCACGCGUUUAGUUAUAAUCUAGAGUGAACUGGAUAUAUAUGAAUUGUAUUAUAAACUAUCGUAUUGAUACUAUACCCCUCCAACCUCAGAAAAAAACAAUAUAUUUCCUUUUGAUUUAUAUGCCCGUUUUUGAAUCGCAUGCCUUGAUGUAGAAAAAUACCAAUUUACUUGACAAUACAUGUAUGUUGCGUAACAUGAAAAACAUGGAUGAAAUGUUGUCAAGGAAACAUCAACACCGAAAGAAAAAGAUGAUCCUAAGAAUAAUUAAAGAUAUUUCAUGAAAACGAACAUUGUUCAGUCUUCGAAUUGCUCCUUAUAUUCUAUGCAAACUUAGACAUUCUUCUUUUUAAUAAUUGGCCCUUGUACUGUUCAACUUUCAGAAACAUUAGACCUAAACAUGUUGUAGUGAUAAAAUUUGUACAUACUUUCAUUUAGAUUUUGCCGGAACACUCUAAUGAACUUAUCUAAUUAUUUUUCGUUAAUCCUUGAUACUCAUGUUUGAAAUAGUUAAAUAUAAGUCUUCUAUUUUAUUUCAAGUAGCAAAUGUAAUUACCCGAUGAAAUAAUAUUGCUGUUUUAGAAAAAAAAGCUACACAAAUUGUUAAACAUAUUCCUUGGCUUUUAAAUGUGUCUUAAGGUGGUACAAUGAAAUUGAUUUGAUAAAUAUUGUUUUAAGCUGCAGUUAUAUAGUUUUAAAUAUAUGUGUAAAAACGGCGAAUAUGUGUCCCCCUUUGACAAAACAUUAAGAAAUUUCAAAUAGACUUUAAUCUUACUUUUCAGAUGAUUUUUUUCAAGCUUAGAAUAUUUUGCUUUUAAUGUUAUCUUCAUAUAGAAAUAUCAGUAUACUUCAAAAACAUAAAGACCUGAAUAUAAACUGCAGAACAUAUGAAAAAUUAUGGCGAAAAUGAGCACCUCACUCUACCCAUCACCUUGAUUAAUAUUAAGUUGGCUCGUUUAAUUUUCAUGAAUGUUUUAAAAAUGUUUACUUUGUAACUUUGACAAAAAUAUGAAAAUUUCAAAAAAAUUGAACCAACCACUUUUCCAGAAAAAAUCAUUGGUUAUAUAGCAGUUUGACAAACACUAAUUUUAAUCAUUGGGAAGCUUAAUAUUUCCUUAAUAAUAACUUAACAACUUGAUUAAAACGUUUAACUGGUUUUACACGGUUAUCUCCCUGUAGUGUGAUGUACCACCUUAACAGACAAUAAAGCUGAUAUAUUGCAACUUUCAAACAUUUGAUCACACGAAUAUCACGUUUGGUUCCUCAGAGACACAUGUUUAAAUGAGACAUGUUUACCAUUAACAAUAUUACACAAAUCAUAUUUGUAAUUUGUAAUUUUAAGAUACAUGAUUCAAUUCAAUAUAACACUAUGGAAAAUUCGAAAUUGCCGACAGACAUUACAGCAUCAAUAUAUUUUAAUCGACCACCUUUAAAACUAUCAAGGCAAAUAGAUGAAAGCAACACACAAGGAUUGAUAAAUGAAGAUGUAAGACAAUUGCAAAAGUCAUUUAAACGUGUAAGAGUCUUUUGUUCAAAACUGCAACUUGUUAAUCAAUCACACAUAGCGCUUGAAUAAAAUGCAUGAUUGACGU